rnacentral:rRNA from 1 species
UACGUAGGUGACAAGCGUUGUCCGGAUUUACUGGGCGUAAAGAGCGCGCAGGCGGUCGUUCAAGUCGCGUGUGAAAGCCCCCGGCUCAACUGGGGAGGGUCACUCGAUACUGAUCGACUUGAAGGCAGGAGAGGGAAGCGGAAUUCCCGGUGUAGUGGUGAAAUUCGUAGAUAUUGGCUGGAACACCGGUGGCGAAAGCGGCUCUCUGGCCCGGUUCUGACGCUGAGGCGCGAAAGCGUGGGGAGCAAACAGG